CCUACGGGUGGCAGCAGUGGGGAAUAUUGGACAAUGGGGGGAACCCUGAUCCAGCCAUGCCGCGUGUGUGAAGAAGGCCCUCGGGUUGUAAAGCACUUUCAGCGAGGAAGAACGCCUGGUGGUUAAUACCCAUCAGGAAAGACAUCACUCACAGAAGAAGCACCGGCUAACUCCGUGCCAGCAGCCGCGGUAAUACGGAGGGUGCGAGCGUUAAUCGGAAUUACUGGGCGUAAAGCGCGCGUAGGUGGCUUGAUAAGCCGGUUGUGAAAGCCCCGGGCUCAACCUGGGAACGGCAUCCGGAACUGUCAAGCUAGAGUGCAGGAGAGGAAGGUAGAAUUCCCGGUGUAGCGGUGAAAUGCGUAGAGAUCGGGAGGAAUACCAGUGGCGAAGGCGGCCUUCUGGACUGACACUGACACUGAGGUGCGAAAGCGUGGGUAGCAAACAGGAUUAGAUACCCCUGUAGUC
rnacentral:rRNA from 1 species